rnacentral:tRNA from 1 species
GAGCAUAGCUCAGUGGUAGAGCCCAUGCUUAGCAUGCAUGAGUGUCUGGGUUUAAUCCCUAGUACUUCCA